GUGCUUGCUUCAGCAGCACAUAUACUAAAAUUGGAAUAAUACAGAGAAGAUUAGCAUGGCCCUUGUCUAAGGAUGACAUGUAAAUUCAUGAAGCACUCCAUAUUUUU
ensembl:snRNA U6 U6 spliceosomal RNA